AGUGAAUAGAUACCCUGGUAGUCCACGCUGUAAACGAUCAAUACUAGGUGUGCGGGGACUGACCCCCUGCGUGCCGGAGUUAAACACAAUAAGUAUUGCACCUGGGGAGUACGAUCGCAAGGUUGAAACUCAAAGGAAUUGACGGGGGCCCGCACAAGCGGUGGAUUAUGUGGUUUAAUUCGAAGCAACGCGAAGAACCUUACCAGGGCUUGACAUCCUACUAAUGAAGCAGAGAUGCAUUAAGUGCCCUUCGGGGAAAGUAGAGACAGGUGGUGCAUGGUUGUCGUCAGCUCGUGUCGUGAGAUGUUGGGUUAAGUCCCGCAACGAGCGCAACCCCUAUUGUUAGUUGCUACGCAAGAGCACUCUAGCGAGACUGCCGUUGACAAAACGGAGGGAGGUGGGGACGACGUCAAAUCAUCAUGCCCCUUAUGUCCUGGGCCACACACGUAAUACAAUGGCGGUCAACAGAGGGAUGCUAAGCCGUGAGGUGGAGCGAACCCCUAAAAGCCGUCUCAGUUCGGAUUGCAGGCUGC
rnacentral:rRNA from 1 species